AUACUUACCUUGCAGGGGAGAUGCCCUGAUCACGCAGGUGGUUCUCCCAGGGCAAGGCUCAUCCAUUGCACUGGGAUUGUGCUGACCCCUGCGAUUUCCCCAAAUGUGAGAAACUCAACUGCAUAAUGUGUGUUAGUGGAGAACUGUGUUCGUGCUCACCACUA